AACGAACGCUGGCGGCAGGCCUAACACAUGCAAGUCGAGCGAGCAUUUCGGUGCUAGCGGCGGACGGGUGAGUAACGCGUGGGAACGUUCCCUUUUCUGCGGAAUAGUCCUGGGAAACUGGGGGUAAUACCGCAUACGCCCUUUUGGGGAAAGAUUUAUCGGAGAAGGAUCGGCCGGCGUUGGAUUAGGUAGUUGGUGGGGUAAUGGCCCACCAAGCCGACGAUCCAUAGCUGGUUUGAGAGGAUGAUCAGCCACACUGGGACUGAGACACGGCCCAGACUCCUACGGGAGGCAGCAGUGGGGAAUCUUAGACAAUGGGGGGAAUCCUGAUCUAGCCAUGCCGCGUGAGUGAUGAAGGCCUUAGGGUUGUAAAGCUCUUUCAGCUGGGAAGAUAAGGACGGUACCAGCAGAAGAAGCCACGGCUAACUCCGUG
rnacentral:rRNA from 1 species